AUGCUCCAUUGCCAGUGGCAGACAGGUAAUGAAGCAAUCAAGCACAGGGGCUGUAAGAAAGAGCUGGCUGAACGGUGUGGGGGAUCCCCAGCAGAUAUAGAUUUGUGCACACAAGGUGUGUUUCAAUCUGUAUCAAAUCAUGGACCAGAAAUGCCUUUUUGCCCAGGCACAGGGCACGGACGAAGAGGAAGUGUUUAUGCUUGGCCCCUCCAUGCAUCAAGGAAUGCUGCUUCCAGUCUUUCAGCAAUGUUGAAGGAGAUCUGCACAAAUACAUCACCUCAGAAUAAAUGCAUGUCAUUUAUUACUAAAAUUGAAUAUGAAGAAAAAAUUGUCUUUACCUUAUUUUCCAUUUGUACUGAAGCAAUGAGAAGGACUGGACCAUGCAAUUAAAUUAUCUGUUGAGACCAAAUAUUUCCUGUACUGUUUUUCAAGAAAUGGCCUGUCUUUCACCUUCUUCUCUUCCUCUUUCAGCAGUGUUAUUCCCAAUCAGUAAACACUGACAUUCAAGAGUCUAUAUAUUUAUGGAGAGUUACUACACAUAUUGUCAUCUGAGCUGUCACCAUUGCAUCCAUAUCUAUAAACAUGGAAGUCUGAAGCAUCAAGUACUUUCUGCUUGCAGUUUGUACUAAUACAUGCAUGUCCCCUUUUUAAUGCUAUUUUUCCUGCAUUCAAAGUGAAUUUGCUUUGAUUUAGUCUUGUUCAUUUAUAAUGGAUUUCUGAAAAUUGUGCCACUUCAAAGAGAAAAACCUUAUCUGCAAGCCUUAUCCUUACAUAGACUAUAUAGCUAUGUUUUUUCUUUUCUAAUGAUUAGUAACCCUACAAAAUCAUGGUGUAAACUAGAGAGUAAAUGCUUUGUCUCUUUUACAUUUUGUAUUGGUCAAUUUUUAUUGACUGUGUACCAUUGUACACUAUACUAAAUGUAGAUGCACAGAAUGUUUCAAAUGGUGAACACAAAGAAAUAUGUUUAACAGCACAGAGAAGUGAUCAUUGAGCAAAUCAUUCUGCAUAAGUUACCAUCUAUUUUCCAUGAAACACAGGGUAAAGCACGUUAAUGUAAAGUACAGAUAUUGCAACGCAGUGUAGUCUUACACUGUGCAGGGAGAGCCCAGCAGUCUGCAGCAGCCUGAAACCGUGCACAAGUGCUUACAGCUGCAGUGACAUGGUGCUAAGCAUGUUUUAAGACUAGUCCCAGUCGAGCGGCAUCUUAUCCAACCAGAAACAAUCCCACAAUCCAGCUCUUUUUAAGUGAUCAUCCUUGUAUCAUAACAGAUUUAGGUUGCAGCUACUUUGGAUUAUGGUUAAUCUAACCUUUAUCCAUUCACAUCUUCACCUGAAACUUACAAGGACCAAGAGUCAAUUGCCAGGGCAUAAUUCACAAUGACACUGAUCUCUCCUUCCUCACUCUAAUUAUCUGGAUUAAGAAUAACACUUUUGAGUAAUUAUUUUCACAUUGGAUAAACAUUAAGCUUUCCUGGAUUUAUCUGAGCUUUUUCUUAACAUGAAAUAGAUCCGAGCAGGCUUAUAAGAACAUAACUGACAGUAGUGACAGCUUAAUCAAGGAAACCCUAAACAACUAAAACAAUAGGAAAUGUUUGUUUCACACUGUUUUGAAUAAUCAAGAGCCAGUAACUUGAUAACCCACUGGCAAACUAUCUACUCAUAGACCAAAGAAAAAGCAAUAUCCAGGCAUAUCAAUUACAGUGACUUGUACUCUCUUAAUAAAGAUGCAAAAUUUUCUCUGAUGCAGUACCAACUCAAAAGCAAACAUGAGUUUUACCAGUGGC
rnacentral:lncRNA from 13 species